CCUACGGGGGGCAGCAGUGGGGAAUAUUGCACAAUGGGGGAAACCCUGAUGCAGCGACGCCGCGUGAGUGAGGAAGUAUUUCGGUAUGUAAAGCUCUAUCAGCAGGGAAGAAAAUGACGGUACCUGACUAAGAAGCCCCGGCUAACUACGUGCCAGCAGCCGCGGUAAUACGUAGGGGGCAAGCGUUAUCCGGAUUUACUGGGUGUAAAGGGAGCGUAGACGGAUAAGCAAGUCUGAUGUGAAAAUCCGGGGCUCAACCCCGGAAUUGCAUUGGAAACUGCAUAUCUAGAGUGUCGGAGAGGCAAGUGGAAUUCCUGGUGUAGCGGUGAAAUGCGUAGAUAUCAGGAGGAACACCAGUGGCGAAGGCGGCUUGCUGGACGAUGACUGACGUUGAGGCUCGAAAGCGUGGGGAGCAAACAGGAUUAGAUACCCGUGUAGUC
rnacentral:rRNA from 1 species